rnacentral:rRNA from 1 species
GACGAACGCUGGCGGCGUGCUUAACACAUGCAAGUCGAACGGUAAGGCCCUUCGGGGUACACGAGUGGCGAACGGGUGAGUAACACGUGGGUGAUCUGCCCUGCACUUCGGGAUAAGCUUGGGAAACUGGGUCUAAUACCGGAUAGGACCACGGUCUGCAUGGAUUGUGGUGGAAAGCUUUUGCGGUGUGGGAUGGGCCCGCGGCCUAUCAGCUUGUUGGUGGGGUGAUGGCCUACCAAGGCGACGACGGGUAGCCGGCCUGAGAGGGUGUCCGGCCACACUGGGACUGAGAUACGGCCCAGACUCCUACGGGAGGCAGCAGUGGGGAAUAUUGCACAAUGGGCGCAAGCCUGAUGCAGCGACGCCGCGUGGGGGAUGACGGCCUUCGGGUUGGUAACCGUACUUUCUAGUAGGGACGAAGCGUAAGUGACGGUACC